rnacentral:rRNA from 1 species
GAUGAACGCUGGCGGCGUGCCUAAUACAUGCAAGUCGAGCGAACAGACGAGGAGCUUGCUCCUCUGACGUUAGCGGCGGACGGGUGAGUAACACGUGGAUAACCUACCUAUAAGACUGGGAUAACUUCGGGAAACCGGAGCUAAUACCGGAUAAUAUAUUGAACCGCAUGGUUCAAUAGUGAAAGACGGUUUUGCUGUCACUUAUAGAUGGAUCCGCGCCGCAUUAGCUAGUUGGUAAGGUAACGGCUUACCAAGGCAACGAUGCGUAGCCGACCUGAGAGGGUGAUCGGCCACACUGGAACUGAGACACGGUCCAGACUCCCACGGGAGGCAGCAGUAGGGAAUCUGACGCAAUGGGCGAAAGCCUGACGGAGCAACGCCGCGUGAGUGAUGAAGGUCUUCGGAUCGUAAAACUCUGUUAUUAGGGAAGAACAAAUGUGUAAGUAACUAUGCACGUCUUGACGGUACCUAAUCAGAAAGCCACGGCUAACUACGUG